rnacentral:rRNA from 1 species
AUGGUGAGUGAAGCCAAGUGUUCAACAUUUUUCAGUCCUAAUACCGAUGUUGAGGUGAAGGCAGAGAUGUGUCAAGUUCUGAAUAUUAUGACCGGAUCUCUCUUGGAUAAAUAUUUGGGCCUCCCAUCUAUGAUUGGGGUGGACCGGGUGGACUGUUUUAAACACCUAAUAGAGACAAUUCAGAUUCUGGUUAAUGGAUGGAAAGAGAGAACUCUAUCCUAUGGAGGAAAAGAAGCCUUGCUGAAAGCGGUGGCCCAAGCCAUCCCUACAUAUGCGAUGAGUGUGUUCAAAUUCCCAAAAAAAGUUUGUAAGGGGAUCACUGAUGCAAUGUCGCAAUAUUGGUGGGGUGACGAUGAAAGCCAACGCCGAAUGCACUGGUUUGCAUGGUGGAAAAUGUGUGUCCCCAAAGAUAGGGGUGGGAUGGGUUUCCGAGAUAUUCAUUGUUUUAACUUAGCCAUGCUUGCUAAGCAAUGUUGGAGGCUUAUCGAUAACUAUGACUCUCUUUGUGCUAGAGUGUUGAGAUCACGUUAUUACCCUUCAGGAGAUAUUUUGAAUUGCGAGUUAAAGAAAGGAUCAUCCUAUGUAUGGCAAAGCAUAUGGGCAGGAAUCCAAACCUUCAAGAAAGGAAGCAUCUGGAGAGUUGGGGAUGGUACAAAGAUUGAUAUUUGGGAGGACUGCUGGAUCCCGAAUAGUUCAUCAAGGAAGAUUUUAACAGUGAGAGGGAACAGAGUCCUUUCAAGGGUGAAUGAGUUGAUUGACCCCUACUUGGGUGAAUGGGAUGAAGAUCUUAUUAGAGAGAAUUUCUGGCCUAUUGAUGCUGAUCGUAUCCUUCAGAUUCCCUUAUACCGUCAAGGGACGGUAGAUUACAUUGCCUGGCAUUUGACAAAGAAUGGUGUUUUCUCUGUUCGAUCCGCGUAUUACAAACAAUGGGAAGAAACCUAUGUUACUGCUUCGGGUUCUGUUGGUUAUGGAGGAUCAUCAUCGCAUCCAGUGUGGAAGAGUUUGUGGAAUCUUAAACUACCGGGGAAGGUUAAAAUCUUUCUAUGGCGAUGCCUACACAACGCCAUACCAUGUUUAUCUGUCCUGGCAAACCGCCACAUUGGGAACAACUCACAGUACCCUGUAUGCUCAAGUGGAGCUGAGGAUAUCAUGCAUGCACUCUUUAAUUGCCCCCGGGCAAGAGCUAUCCGGGAGGCUCUCGGGGUAGGGAAAGAAAUGCAGAACGCAGUUCUGGUUGAUCGAGCUGGUUCUGCAGUGAUCGAAUUUUUUCUAUGCGACAAAUCUUUCCAACGCCCGUUUAUGGAACCAGUGCAAAUCCCUGAAUUAUUAGCGACUGCAUGUUGGUUUAUCUGGUGGCAGAGAAGACAGCUGGUCAGAGGAGAACCAGUGCAAAAUUCUGAACAAACGGCUCUAUCGUUGCAUGCUCUAACACUGAAUUUUGUGAAAGCUCGUGAGCUUGAUUAUACACGAGCAAGUGGAGCAGUCAUUCGUGAUAAUCGGGGCAGAUUUAUCAAGGCAGCAACAGCUCGUCUGUAUCAUGUGCCGGACGUGGUCUCAGCUGAAGCUGCUGCACUUCUGGAAGGCCUCAAAUUACUUCAGAGCACUGGUUGUAACAAUGCUGUGAUUAGGAUGGAUGGAUAG